rnacentral:lncRNA from 1 species
ACCUUUUCCACCACUGCCAGCUUCCAGGAAUAGUGUACAGAUCCUUCCGACAACGGCUGUACAUGAUCAUGCUGAAACGAGCUGAUGGCGACAGAUGAAUGGCAUGACAAUGGGCCUCAGGAUCUCGUCACGGUAUAUCUGUGCAUUGAAAUUACCAUUGAUGAAAUGCAAUUGUGUUCGUUGUCCGUAGCUUAUGCUUGCCCAUACCAUAACCCCACCACCACCAUGGGGCACUCUGUUCACAAUGUUGACAUUGGCACACUGUCUUCCAUCACCUCAGUGGCUACUGCUGGUGAACACCUCUGUCCCGAAGCAAGCACAAGUUAGCCUCGAGCUAGCCUCGAGCUAGGCCCAUCUCCCGGCUAGCCGAAGAGGUCUACCAACUAAUUCUUGGGCUACAAUACCUCUUUUGCCAACUGGCCUGGACCCUUUAUUGCCGACACGGAGCCCCUGUGAUCUAUCACGACUGGUCUGCGGACAUAAUCGCCCGAGGAGGUUUCAACAAGCUUUUCCGUUGCAACGUUGCUGAAGACCCAUCUGCUAUCCCCGGCCCGCUAGCUUUCUGAAUCGUUGUGUCUCCAGCUCACCUAGCGUAGUAGCGACUACCGAACGGCUCCCUGACUCACUUAAUUGCUGCUCAUUGGACCCUAUGAUCACUCAGCUACACAUGCCUCUCACUAAUGUCAAUAUGCCUUGUCUACUGCUGUUUAGGUUAGUUAUUGUUUUAUUUCACGUUUGAGCCCCCAGCCCCGCCCAACUUGCCUUAGAUAGCUCUUUUGUCCCACCCCCCACACAUGCAGAGACCUCACCUGGCCUAAUUAACUGGUGCCUCCAGAGACACAACCGCUCUCAUCGUCACUCAAUGCCUAGGUUUACCUCCACUGUACUCACAUCCUACCAUACCCUUGUCUGUACAUUAUGCCCUGAAUCUAUUCUACCACGCCCAGAAAUCUGCUCCUUUUAUUCUCUGUUCCCAACACACUAGACGACCAGAUCUUACAGCCUUUAGCCGCACCCUUAUCCUACACCUCCUCUGGUGAUGUAGAGGUUAACCCAGCGCCUGUAGCCCCCAGCACCACACCUAUUCCCCAGGCGCUCUCAUUUGUUGACUUCUGUAACCGUAAAAGCCUUGGUUUCAUGCAUGUUAACAGCAGAAGCCUCCUCCCUAAGUUUGUUUUAUUCACUGCUUUAGCACACUCCACCAACUCUGAUGUCCUAGCCGUGUCUGAAUCCUGGUUUAGGAAGGCCAUCAAAAAUGCAGAAAUUUCCAUCCCCAACUACAACAUUUUCCUACAAGAUAGAACUGCCAAAGGGGCCGAAGUUGCAAUCCACUGCAGAGAUAGCCUGCAGAGUUCUGUCAUACUAUCCAGGUCCGUGCCCAAGCAGUUCGAGCUUCUACUUCUAAAAAUCCCCCUUUCCAGAAACAAGUCUCUCACUGUUUCCGCUUGGUAUAGAUCCCCCAGCUGUGUCCUAGACACCAUAUGUGAAUUGAUUGCCCCCCAUCUAUCUUCAGAGUUCAUACUGUUAGGUGACUUAAACUGGGAUAUGCUUAACACCCCGGCCGUCCUACAAUCUAAGCUAGAUGCCCUCAAUCUCACACAAAUUAUCAAGGAACCUACCAGGUACAACCCUAAAUCCGUAACCAUGGGCACCCUCAUAGAUAUCAUCCUGACAAACUUGCCCUCUAAAUACACCUCUGCUGUCUUCAACCAGGAUCUCAGCGAUCACUGCCUCAUUGCCUGCGUCCGUAAUGGGUCCGUGGUCAAACGACUACCCUUCAUCACUGUCAAAUGCUCCCUAAAACACUUCAGCGAGCAGGCCUUUCUAAUCGACUUGGCUCGGGUAUCCGAGAAGGAUAUUGACCACAUCCCGUCAGUAGAGGAUGCCUGGUUGCUCUUAAAAGUGCUUUCCUCACCAUCUUAAAUAAGCAUGCCCCAUUCAAAAAAAAAUUGAACUAAGAACAGAUAUAGCCCUUGGUUCACCCGAGACUUGACUGCCCUUGACCAGCACAAAAACAUCCUAUGGCGUACUGCAUUAUCAUCGAAUAGCCCCUGCAAUAUGCAACUUUUCAGGGAAGUCAGGAACCAAUAUACACAGUCAGUUAGGAAAGCUAAGGCUAGCUUUUUCAAACAGAAAUGUGCAUCCUGUAGCACUAAUUCCCCAAAGUUUUGGGACACUGUAAAGUCCAUGGAGAAUAAGAGCACCUCCUCCCAGCUGCCCAUUGUACUGAGGCUAGGAAACACUGUCACCACCGAUAAAUCUACGAUAAUCAAUCAUUUCAAUAAGCAUUUUUCUACGGCUGGCCAUGCUUUUCACCUGGCUACCCCUACCCCGGGCCAACAGCUCUGCACCCCCCGCAGAAACUUGCCCAAGUCCCCCCCGCUUCUCCUUCACCCAAAUCCAGACAGCUGAUGUUCUGAAAGAACUGCAAAAUCUGGAUCCCUACAAAUCAGCUGGGCUAGACAAUCUGGACUACAAAUCAGCUGCGCUAGACAAUCACGCAUUCUUAUCGGCAGACUCAAUAGCCUUGGUUUCUCAAAUAACUGCCUCGCCUGGUUCACCAACUACUUCUCAGAUAGAGUUCAGUGUGUCAAAUUGGAGGGCCUGUUGUCCGGACCUCUGGCAAUCUCUAUGGGGGUGCCACAGGGUUCAAUUCUCGGGCUGGUGACUCUCUGAUCCACCUCUACGCAGACGAUUAUGUAUACAUCUGGCCCUUCUUUGGACACUGUGUUAACAAACCUCCAAACAAGCUUCAAUGCCAUACAACACUCCUUCCGUGGCCUCCAACUGCUUUUAAAUGCUAGUAAAACCACAUGCAUGCUCUUCAACCGAUUGCUGCCCACAACCGCCCGCCUGACUAGCAUCACUACUCUGGACGGUUCUGACUUAGAAUAUGUGGACAACUACAAAUACCUAGGUGUCUGCUUAGACUGUAAAUUCUCCUUCCAGACUCACCUUAAGCAUCUCCAAUCCAAAAUUAAAUCUAGAAUCGGCUUCCUAUUUUGCAACAAAGCCUCCUUCACUCAUGCUGCCAAACUUGCCCUCGUAAAACUGACUAUCCUACCGAUCCUUGACUUCGGCAAUGUCAUUUACAAAAUAGCCUCCAACACUCUACUCAGCAAAUUGGAUGCAGUCUAUCACAGUGCCAUCCAUUUUGUCAUCAAAGCCCCAUAUACUACCCACCACUGCGACCUGUAUGCUCUCGUUGGCUGGUCCUCGCUACAUAUUCGUCGCCAAAUCCACUGGCUCCAGGUCAUCUUUGCUAGGUAAAGCUCCGCCUUAUCUCAGCUCACUGGUCACCAUAGCAGCAGCCACCCGUAGCACGCGCUCCAGCAGGUAUAUUUCACUGGUCAUCCCCAAAGCCAACACUUCUUUGGCCGCCUUUCCUUCCAGUUCUCUGCUGCCAAUGACUGGAACGAAUUGCAAAAAUCACUGAAACUGGAGACUUAUAUCUCCCUCUCUAACUUUAAGCAUCAGCUGUCAGAGCAGUUUACCGAUCACUGUACCAGUACACAGCCCAUCUGUAAAUAGCACACCCAACUACCUCGUCCCCAUAUUGUUAUUUAUUUUAUAAUUUUUUACUCUUUUGCUCCCCAGUAUCUCUCUUGCACAUCAUCAUCUGCACAUCUAUCAUUCCAGUGUUAAUGCUAAAUUGUAAUUAUUUCACCUCUAUGGCCUAUUUAUUGCCAUACCUCCCUAAUAUUACUACAUUUGCACACACUACAGUCGUGGCCAAAAGUUUUGAGAAUGACACAAAUAUUAAUUUUCACAAAGUCUGCUGCCUCAGUUUGUAUGAUAGCAAUUUGCAUAUACUCCAGAAUGUUAUGAAGAGUGAUCUCUCGUUAACACAGGUGUGAGUGUUGACGAGGACAAGGCUGGAGAUCACGCUGUCAUGCUGAUUGAGUUCGAAUAACAGACUGGAAGCUUCAAAAGGAGGGUGGUGCUUGGAAUCAUUGUUCUUCCUCUGUCAACCACGGUUACCUGCAAGGAAACAUGUGCCGUCAUCAUUGCUUUGCACAAAAAGGGCUUCACAGGCAAGGAUAUUGCUGCCAGUAAGAUUGCACCUAAAUCAACCAUUUAUCGGAUCAUCAAGAACUUCAAGGAGAGCGGUUCAAUUGUUGUGAAGAAGGCUUCAGGGCGCCCAAGAAAGUCCAGCAAGCGCCAGGACCAUCUCCUAAAGUUGAUUCAGCUGUGGGAUCGGGGCACCACCAGUACAGAGCUUGCUCAGGAAUGGCAGCAGGCAGGUGUGAGUGCAUCUGCACGCACAGUGAGGCGAAGACUUUUGGAGGAUGGCCUGAUGUCAAGAAGGGCAGCAAAGAAGCCACUUCUCUCCAGGAAAAACAUCAGGGACAGACUGAUAUUCUGCAAAAGGUACAGGGAUUGGACUGCUGAGGACUGGGGUAAAGUCCGCCAGGGCGGAUUGCAGAGGUCUUGAAAAAGAAGGGUCAACACUGCAAAUAUUGACUCUGCAUCAACUUCAUGUAAUUAUCAAUAAAAGCCUUUGACACUUAUGAAAUGCUUGUAAUUAUACUUCAGUAUUCCAUAGUAACAUCUGACAAAAAUAUCUAAAGACACUGAAGCAGCAAACUUUGUGGAAAUUAAUAUUUGUGUAAUUCUCCAAACUUGGCCACGACUGUACAUAGAUUUUUCUAUUGUGUUAUUGAUUGUACAUAUGUUUAUGCCAGGUGUAACUCUGUGUUGUUGUUUUCGUCGCACUGCUUUGCUUAAUCUAGGCCAG